rnacentral:rRNA from 1 species
AUGAAGCUGGAUUCGCUAGUAAUCGCGCAUCAGCCACGGCGCGGUGAAUACGUUCCCGGGCCUUGUACACACCGCCCGUCAAGCCAUGGAAGCCGGGAGUGCCUGAAGUGCGUGAGCGCAAGCAGCGCCCUAAGGUAAAAUCGGUGACUGGGGCUAAGUCGUAACAAGGUAAC